ACGGCUCAGUAACACGUGGACAACNUACCNUGUGGAGGGGGAUAACCCCGGAAAACUGGGGAUAAUACCCCAUAGGUUAGGGUGGCUGGAAUGCCCCCUAGCUCAAAGGUCCGCCGCCACAGGAUGGGUCUGCGGCCGAUUAGGUUGUUGUUGGGGUAACGGCCCAACAAGCCUUUGAUCGGUACGGGUUGUGGGAGCAAGAGCCCGGAGAUGGAUUCUGAGACACGAAUCCAGGCCCUACGGGGCGCAGCAGGCGCGAAAACUUUACAAUGCGAGAAAUCGUGAUAAGGGAACCCCGAGUGCCCGUAAAUUCGGGCUGUCCGCCAGUGCAAAAAACUGGUGAAGAAAGAGCCGGGCAAGACCGGUGCCAGCCGCCGCGGUAAUACCGGCGGCUCGAGUGGUGGCCACUAUUACUGGGCUUAAAGCGUCCGUAGCUUGGUUGUUAAGUCUCCUGGGAAAUCCAUCGGCUCAACCGAUGGGCGUUCAGGAGAUACUGGCAACCUAGGGACCGGGAGAGGUGAGAGGUACUCCAGGGGUAGGAGUGAAAUCCUGUAAUCCUUGGGGGACCACCUGUGGCGAAGGCGUCUCACUAGAACGGCUCCGACAGUGAGGGACGAAAGCUGGGGGAGCAAACCGGAUUAGAUACCCGGGUAGUCCCAGCUGUAAACGAUGCGCGUUAGGUGUAUCGGUGACCACGAGUCACCGAGGUGCCGAAGGGAAACCGUGAAACGUGCCGCCUGGGAAGUACGGUCGCAAGGCUGAAACUUAAAGGAAUUGGCGGGGGAGCAC
rnacentral:rRNA from 1 species